rnacentral:rRNA from 1 species
UACGUAGGUGGCAAGCGUUGUCCGGAAUUAUUGGGCGUAAAGCGCGCGCAGGCGGCUUGGUAAGUCGGAUGUGAAAUCCCGAGGCUCAACCUCGGGUCUGCAUCCGAUACUGCCCGGCUAGAGGUAGGUAGGGGAGAUCGGAAUUCCUGGUGUAGCGGUGAAAUGCGCAGAUAUCAGGAGGAACACCGGUGGCGAAGGCGGGUCUCUGGGCCGUAACUGACGCUGAGGAGCGAAAGCGUGGGGAGCGAACAGG